rnacentral:rRNA from 1 species
GACGAACGCUGGCGGCGUGCCUAAUACAUGCAAGUCGAGCGGACCGACGGGAGCUUGCUCCCUUAGGUCAGCGGCGGACGGGUGAGUAACACGUGGGUAACCUGCCUGUAAGACUGGGAUAACUCCGGGAAACCGGGGCUAAUACCGGAUGCUUGAUUGAACCGCAUGGUUCAAUCAUAAAAGGUGGCUUUUAGCUACCACUUGCAGAUGGACCCGCGGCGCAUUAGCUAGUUGGUGAGGUAACGGCUCACCAAGGCGACGAUGCGUAGCCGACCUGAGAGGGUGAUCGGCCACACUGGGACUGAGACACGGCCCAGACUCCUACGGGAGGCAGCAGUAGGGAAUCUUCCGCAAUGGACGAAAGUCUGACGGAGCAACGCCGCGUGAGUGAUGAAGGUUUUCGGAUCGUAAAACUCUGUUGUUAGGGAAGAACAAGUACCGUUCGAAUAGGGCGGUACCUUGACGGUACCUAACCAGAAAGCCACGGCUAACUACGUGCCAGCAGCCGCGGUAAUACGUAGGUGGCAAGCGUUGUCCGGAAUUAUUGGGCGUAAAGCGCGCGCAGGCGGUUUCUUAAGUCUGAUGUGAAAGCCCCCGGCUCAACCGGGGAGGGUCAUUGGAAACUGGGGAACUUGAGUGCAGAAGAGGAGAGUGGAAUUCCACGUGUAGCGGUGAAAUGCGUAGAGAUGUGGAGGAACACCAGUGGCGAAGGCGACUCUCUGGUCUG